rnacentral:miRNA from 1 species
CGAUGAAGGUCUUUGGAACGGUA